UUUUUAUCAAAAAAAGCAACUCUUUCCAUUAAGAAAAAUUUCAACUAACAUAUAAAUACCAUAAUAUUAGCAUUACACAUCACUUUUACUUCCUAAUACUAUAACUCCUAUAGACUGCUCAAAGGCAGGCUCUUCCCACCCUUAUGGGAAGCUCUGAACCUGGGCAUGCCCAGUGGGCUUGCAAUAGUGUGACUUUUACCAAAUGGCCAUUGGCCAAAUAUCUAUGAGUAUGAUGAACUUGCGUUCAAGUUACAACAGACCAAUAUAAUUACAGGCAAACCUUGCACAGCAGCACUAUUCCUUCUGGAAAAAAGAAAGAACAAGAUCUGUAUGUACAGAGAAGAGCUGUGUGUCUACAAAGAGCUGCUCGGCACAAUUAAGGAAAAUUUUGUCAGUAUGCUUUCAGCGACUACUAGUUUAUACAUGUGUAUAUAUAUACUCAUCAAGACAUUGAUAACAGGAACUCUCAAAAUUAGCUUAAAACAAGCUUAAACUAGCAGCAAUUCUUAUUUUCCUUAACCAAUAUGAAUUAAUUUCCACAAUAGCCAUUGGGCAUGAUGGAGAAAAUAUAUUUGUACUUAUUGCUGUCAUUUAUUUUCAUCAUGGAUACUAAGGAUUGCUGAAUUAUACAAUUUCUUGCCAUCAUUAACUUCAAAAUGAAAAAAUAGUGUCACAAGGAACACACCUUCAUAAAUGGUCGAUCACGAUAAGGGAAGGAGUCUAUGAAACUCUCCUUUAAGAGCAAUGACACCUAGAAGUAGAAGGAAUAUUAGGAUAAGGUUUAGCAAUAUUUGCAAUUAUUUACCAUCUGACAAUUAAGUCGGCGUGCAAGAUGCAAAUAUGGAAAGAGUAAUAUUCCCUGGUAUGCUUAUGUUUUGUGCACCAUGAGAUUGGCUUUCCUGUGAUUAAGACUUCAGGAAUACAACAAGGACUCCACAGAAUAAUAUCUUAAUUUGAAGAACUAUUAUCCAAAUACUUACUGGGACGUCUUAAAUUAUUAUCCACAUAUCAGUCCACCAAAACAAGGACAUCUUAAACUGGUCAGUCUUUACAACAUAUCCCCAUAAUUGGACUCAGUAGCCUAUGAAACCCAUACUUAUAACAUCAGAAUUGGGAGGUUAAAAAGGUCAAAGUAUACCUUCUACAAGAUAACCAUUAAGAAGCACUUUAAUCUGACAAAAUAUUCUAACAGAUAUGAUGUCUUUUUAAUUUUUGCUAGGUUUCUGAAAAAUGUAACUAGUGUGCUUUGGCACCCUCCAGUAAUGAAGUAUCAAUCUCUUUAUAUAAAUUUUGCACAGUUUAGUUCACUUAAUGAUAUUUUUGACAUUUUAAUGCAAUUGUACUAUUAUAUACCUAUAUAUAUCACAAACAUGGUGAAUCAUUUUUCUUGAGUAAAAGAACAUUUCUGAUUUAUUCUGCUCUUCCGUUAAGUAAAGCCUUUUCUUCCAAUAACUUAUCACAAACAAGAUUACCAUCAAUGACUAGCAGACAUGAAUUACAGUUAGAAUCAGUACAAAAG
rnacentral:misc_RNA from 1 species